rnacentral:lncRNA from 13 species
GUGUGCCAAGUACGGCUUGCAUCAACUUAACAAAUGCAGAGAACGUUUACUGUUAAGGGAGCCUACUAACACCACCUGGCUUCUAGAAGCCUCUCAAUAAUUGGGAAUUAAAACAAAUGCUACUUUUUUAUCAACACUGCCUUGUUGUGCCAAUAUUACCACUCUGAUAUUAAUAGUAUCUGUUCCGCUGCUCAUAGCACUGCUAUUUAUGACUACUCCGGGCUGAUCUGUGCCCCUCCAAUUUCCUACGCUGAAGUUCUAACCCUGAAAACCUUAGAAUGUAACCAUACUUGGCAACAGUGUUGUUAAAGAGGUGACGAAGUUAAAAGGAGGUCAUUAAAGUACGCCCUAAUCCAACAUACCCCCAUCCUCAUAAAGUUUAUGCAUUUUAUAAAGUUCAGAAAGACUUUUCUGAGAGUACAAAGGGAAGCUAUUAAUAAUUAUAUCGGGAUGUACCACGAUAACAGUCAUAUAUGAAACUGUCCGGGCCAACUGGGAACUGCAUUCACCCUACCUAUAAGGCAUAUGGUUGUACUCCAAAUGUCCACCUAGGUUCCACUUCAUGGCAUUUGGCCAGAGGAAAGAGAGCCCAUCUGAAGAUAAGGUAAGGUAAAAUAACACAGCCUUCAUACUUCUUCUCUUCAACAGCAUGCCGUGGAAAGCAUGCUGAAGUGGAUGGCUGUUGAAAAACUGCAACUGGAAGGGAUAAGAAUUGGGAGUUUAAACUGUCGCUGCCAAAGCACGCUUCCAGUCCCCAGGAUUACUGGGUAGAAAACCACACGUGCUUACUAUCUUGGCUUGAGAUCACGUCAAAGAGAGUUCAGGGAUGGAAAAGUAUCUAAAACCAGGCAAAAGUCAAUGAAGCUUUUCUCCCCCUUGAAAAGCCGUUAUGGAAAGGCUCAGAUGGCAGAAAACCAGAUUUCUUGGAUUGAGGUGUCAGAAGACAGAGUUGGAAAUUGGAGGAGAAACAAAAACUUAGGAGGAUUUUCCAAAGGCAGUGAAUCCACUGAGAGUGCGAGUCACAAAAUUUGAAGGUAAACUUUGCCCAAAUGCUUGAAUGAUCACCAAACUCUACAGGCACAGGGAAGAUUCACAGGGGACCAAACUGGAUAAACAAGCAUGGUUUAAAAUUUGAGCCCAGAGAAGUUAACUGCCUGUUUAAAACUAAAAAAUUAGACACGCAUCCUUUGUUGGUAUGGUGAAUGCACAGUCAAUACUGAAACAAACACAAGGAAAUGGGGAUGGCCACUGUGUGCCCCCCGGUAUAGCCCGGGAUAAGAUACCCUGCCCUCCCUGUCUUGCCUCUAAGUGCACUGGCUCUUGAGCAAAACACCUGCUUCACAAUUUACCAGCUGUUUGAACUUUAGGAAACUGCUUAACUUCUGCGCUCUGCUUUUUCAUCUCUGAAAGGGUAAUAACAGUACUACCUGUUUUGGUUAUUUGUGGGGAUUAAAUGAGUUAAUACACAUCAGGCAUUUUUAAACAAAGUGCAUCAUGUUAGGUAUUAUGACAAUUACAAUAUUAUUGAGGAUGACAAUAGUACAGACCUUCAACAUUUACAUGCCAUCCCAGGGUUAAGGAAGAGGUUGUAGGGAGCCAUCUUGAAUUUAUUAAAAACAUUCUGAAUUGGCUUUGAUUAUGCUAAAUUGCAAAGUAACAGAAUAGCAGCACAAAACAUAGUUACAUGGAAAAAAAUUAUAUUUAUCCUUGUACUGCUAUAUUUGUUGGUUCUCAUGUUGCUAAUAAAGACACACCCUAGGCUGGGUACUUUAUAAAG